CAGGGAAUAUUGCGCAAUGGGCGAAAGCCUGACGCAGUAACGCCGCGUGGGGGAUGACGGCCUUCGGGUUGUAAACCCCUUCAGUCAGGGAGCGAAUGAAUCGUGACCUGCAGAAGAAGCACCGGCCAACUACGUGCCAGCAGCCGCGGUAACACGUAGGGUGCAAGCGUUGUCCGGAUUCAUUGGGCGUAAAGGGCUAGUAGGCGGCUUAGCAAGUCGGGUGUGAAAACUUCAGGCUCAACCUGGAGCGGCCAUCCGAUACUGCUAUGGCUAGAGUCCGGUAGGGGACCACGGAAUUCCUGGUGUAGCGGUGAAAUGCGCAGAUAUCAGGAGGAACACCGAUGGCGAAGGCAGUGGUC
rnacentral:rRNA from 1 species